rfam:Triticum aestivum genome assembly, contig: Triticum_aestivum_CS42_TGACv1_scaffold_404421_5BL
CAAAUACUCCCUCCGUCCGGAAAUACUUGUCAUCAAAAUGGAUAAAAGGAAAUGUAUCUAGACGUAUUUUAGUUUUAGAUACAUAUCUUUUUAUCCAUUUUGAUGACAAGUAUUUUCGGACGGAGGGAGUAGAAA